rnacentral:tRNA from 1 species
GUCCAGGGUAGCCCAGUGGUCAUGGCAUCUGUGCGGUAAGCGGAAGGUCGUGGGUUCGAUUCCCAUCCCUUGACA